UAUUAGAAAGAAUACCAAAUGCGAAGGCAGCUUUCUGGAUCAUUACUGACACUGAGGAACGAAAGCAUGGGUAGCGAAGAGGAUUAGAUACCCUCGUAGUCCAUGCCGUAAACGAUGUGUGUUAGACGUUGGAAAUUUAUUUUCAGUGUCGCAGCGAAAGCGAUAAGCACACCGCCUGGGGAGUACGACCGCAAGGUUAAAACUCAAAUGAAUUGACGGGGACCCGCACAAGUAGUGGAGCAUGUGGUUUAAUUCGAAGAUACGCGCAGAACCUUACCAACACUUGACAUGUUCGUCGCGACUUUAAGAGAUUAAAGUUUUCGGUUCGGCCGGACGAAACACAGGUGCUGCAUGGCUGUCGUCAGCUCGUGUCGUGAGAUGUUGGGUUAAGUCCCGCAACGAGCGCAACCCUCACUUUUAGUUGCCAUCAUUAAGUUGGGCACUCUGAAAGAACUGCCAGUGAUAAGCUGGAGGAAGGUGGGGAUGACGUCAAGUCCUCAUGGCCCUUACGUGUUGGGCUACACACGUGCUACAAUGGUAUCUACAACAGGAAGCAAAACGGCGACGUUAAGCAAAUCCUCAAAAGAUACCUCAGUUCGGAUUGCACUCUGCAACUCGAGUGCAUGAAGCUGGAAUUACUAGUAAUCGUGGAUCAGCGUGCCACGGUGAAUGCGUUCCCGGGCCUUGUACACACCGCCCA
rnacentral:rRNA from 1 species